ACCUGCCUGGCUCAGUAGGUGGAGCGUGUGACUCUUGAUCUCAGGGUUGUGAGUUCAAGCCCCACAUUGGGUG
rnacentral:tRNA from 1 species